GCGAACGCUGGCGGCAGGCUUAACACAUGCAAGUCGAGCGGGCACUUUCGGGUGUCAGCGGCGGACGGGUGAGUAACGCGUGGGAACGUGCCCUCUGGUUCGGAAUAACUCAGGGAAACUUGAGCUAAUACCGGAUACGCCCUUUUGGGGAAAGGCUUGCUGCCGGAGGAUCGGCCCGCGUCUGAUUAGCUAGUUGGUGAGGUAACGGCUCACCAAGGCGACGAUCAGUAGCUGGUCUGAGAGGAUGAUCAGCCACACUGGGACUGAGACACGGCCCAGACUCCUACGGGAGGCAGUAGUGGGGAAUAUUGGACAAUGGGCGCAAGCCUGAUCCAGCCAUGCCGCGUGAGUGAUGAAGGCCUUAGGGUUGUAAAGCUCUUUUAUCCGGGACGAUAAUGACGGUACCGGAGGAAUAAGCCCCGGCUAACUUCGUG
rnacentral:rRNA from 1 species